rnacentral:rRNA from 1 species
GAUGAACGCUAGCGGGAGGCUUAACACAUGCAAGUCGAGGGGCAGCAUAGGGUAGCAAUACUCUGAUGGCGACCGGCAAACGGGUGAGUAACGCGUAUGCAACCUACCCUGUACAGGGGGAUAACCCGGAGAAAUUCGGACUAAUAUCCCGUAAUAAUAUCCGGAGGCAUCUUUGGAUAUUUAAAGUUCCGACGGUACGGGAUGGGCAUGCGUAACAUUAGCUGGUUGGUAAGGUAACGGCUUACCAAGGCUAUGAUGUUUAGGGGUCCUGAGAGGGUGGUCCCCCACACUGGUACUGAGACACGGACCAGACUCCUACGGGAGGCAGCAGUGAGGAAUAUUGGUCAAUGGGCGCAAGCCUGAACCAGCCAUCCCGCGUGCAGGAAGACGGCCCUAUGGGUUGUAAACUGCUUUUCCAGGGAGAGAAACUUACGCACGUGUUGCGUGACUGACGGUACCCUGGGAAUAAGCAUCGGCUAACUCCGUGCCAGCAGCCGCGGUAACUCGUCUCUA